UGGGGAAUAUUGGACAAUGGGCGAAAGCCUGAUCCAGCCAUGCCGCGUGAGUGAUGAAGGCCUUAGGGUUGUAAAGCUCUUUUACCCGGGAAGAUAAUGACUGUACCGGGAGAAUAAGCCCCGGCUAACUUCGUGCCAGCAGCCGCGGUAAUACGAAGGGGGCUAGCGUUGCUCGGAAUCACUGGGCGUAAAGGGCGCGUAGGCGGCCGAUCAAGUCAGAGGUGAAAGCCCCAGGCUCAACCUGGGAAUUGCCUUUGAUACUGUUUGGCUCGAGACCGGAAGAGGUUAGUGGAACUGCGAGUGUAGAGGUGAAAUUCGUAGAUAUUCGCAAGAACACCAGUGGCGAAGGCGGCUGACUGGUCCGGUUCUGACGCUGAGGCGCGAAAGCGUGGGGAGCAAACA
rnacentral:rRNA from 1 species